GCCCGAGUGGUGAAAUUGGUAGACGCAGGGGACUCAAAAUCCCCCGCCGCAAGGCGUGCCGGUUCGAUUCCGGCCUCGGGCACC
rnacentral:tRNA from 1 species